rnacentral:rRNA from 1 species
CCUACGGGAGGCAGCAGUGGGGAAUAUUGGACAAUGGGGGGAACCCUGAUCCAGCCAUGCCGCGUGUGUGAAGAAGGCCCUCGGGUUGUAAAGCACUUUCAGUGAGGAAGAACGCCUGGUGGUUAAUACCCAUCAGGAAAGACAUCACUCACAGAAGAAGCACCGGCUAACUCCGUGCCAGCAGCCGCGGUAAUACGGAGGGUGCGAGCGUUAAUCGGAAUUACUGGGCGUAAAGCGCGCGUAGGUGGCUUGAUAAGCCGGUUGUGAAAGCCCCGGGCUCAACCUGGAAACGGCAUCCGGAACUGUCAAGCUAGAGUGCAGGAGAGGAAGGUAGAAUUCCCGGUGUAGCGGUGAAAUGCGUAGAGAUCGGGAGGAAUACCAGUGGCGAAGGCGGCCUUCUGGACUGACACUGACACUGAGGUGCGAAAGCGUGGGUAGCAAACAGGAUUAGAUACCCGAGUAGUC